GCAGACACAUUCCAGCCAAUCAGCAGCAGACCCUCCCUCCCAGACCCUCCCACCUCCUGGACAGCUCACUAAGAAUGCAGCUUCACUUAUGGAUGCUGUCCAGGAUGUGGGAGGGUCUGGGAGGGAGGGUCUGCUGCUGAUUGGCUGGAAUGUGUCUG
rnacentral:miRNA from 1 species